AACGAACGCUGGCGGCAUGCCUAACACAUGCAAGUCGAACGAACUCUUCGGAGUUAGUGGCGCACGGGUGCGUAACGCGUGGGAAUCUGCCCUUGGGUACGGAAUAACUCAGAGAAAUUUGUGCUAAUACCGUAUAAUGACUUCGGUCCAAAGAUUUAUCGCCCAAGGAUGAGCCCGCGUAAGAUUAGCUAGUUGGUGGGGUAAAAGCCUACCAAGGCGACGAUCUUUAGCUGGUCUGAGAGGAUGAUCAGCCACACUGGGACUGAGACACGGCCCAGACUCCUACGGGAGGCAGCAGUGGGGAAUAUUGGACAAUGGGCGAAAGCCUGAUCCAGCAAUGCCGCGUGAGUGAUGAAGGCCUUAGGGUUGUAAAGCUCUUUUACCCGGGAUGAUAAUGACAGUACCGGGAGAAUAAGCUCCGGCUAACUCCGUGCCAGCAGCCGCGGUAA
rnacentral:rRNA from 1 species